rnacentral:lncRNA from 1 species
CUGGUGGGGCUCCACAGUUUCUGGCCAGUGUACCUAGUGCAGUGGACAGCAUCCUUGCUUUGGAAGAAGAAUACGGACCAUUCUUUUCUGAAAACUCCUUUUAGUGUGAUCAGCAAGAAUCCAGUACACGUGGGGCACUUGGAGUUUAACACCAGAACACGUAUGCUGCACACGAGAACCCUUUGGCAUUAGGGAGAUUUUCUUUAGGGACCAGAACAUGUCUUGCAGAAACCCAGUUACGAAGUCUAUUUGGAAUGCUAUCUUAAGUUAAUCUAGCCAUUCAUCUGCCUAGUACUUCCCAGGAAUGGGCAUAGAACAAAAGCCAAGACUACAAGAUGCAGGGAACACUACUGAUAUUUUCUGCCCACACGGCUUUCCAGUGCUUUCUUGAGCAAGUCCAUGUUUGAGCCUGAGAAACUUCUCAGAGUCGGACCGAGGCUGGCAUGACUCCCCCUACUCACUGCUGAUUGUAAGUAGCUCACUGAUGGGCCUUGAGAUGACACAUCCUUUGUAGAGAGGGAACAGCCGCCUUCUGCUUCGAGGAAAGAUGAAGUAGCAGAGAUGAGUUCCCCCCACCCCCCACCCCAGGCAGCCUAACUAUAAACCGUUUCCACACUACUUAAUAAACGUAAGGACGGCUAGUACUCCUUGAGAGGUAAGUGGUCAUGGGGAGUCAAGAGAGCACUCAAGUCUAGGUCCCUGAAAGUUCCACAAGAUGGCUAAUCUUCACUGUCAACCUGAUUACACUGGGGGCUACCAGGGAGAUUGAUGGAGUAAGACCCUGGGUGUGUCUGUGGGGGCUUAGCUGAGAGUUUAGCUAAGGCCAGAAGGUCGGCUCUGACCUUUCUGCAGGCUGCAGUCCUGGCUGAAGUAAAGGGGAAGGAAGGAAAGGCCAGGAUACAGGUCUUAGUCUCUCUCUCUCUCUCUCUCUCUCUCUCUCUCU